GAGAGAUCGUACUUCUCUAGCAAUAGAGCUUUCCACACAGGUGCUGCAUGGCUGUCGUCAGCUCGUGUCGUGAGAUGUUGGGUUAAGUCCCGCAACGAGCGCAACCCUCGUUUCUAGUUGCCAUCAUUAAGUUGGGCCCUCUAGAGAGACUGCCGCGAAUAACGCGGAGGAAGGUGGGGACGACGUCAAGUCAUCAUGGCCCUUACGUCUUGGGCUACACACGUGCUACAAUGGACGUUACAAAGGGCUGCAAGAGCGCAAGCUGGAGCCAAUCCCUAAAAGCGUCCUCAGUUCAGAUUGAGGUCUGCAACUCGACCUCAUGAAGGUGGAAUCGCUAGUAAUCGUGGAUCAGAACGCCACGGUGAAUACGUUCCCGGGCCUUGUACACACCGCCCGUCAAGCCACGAAAGGAGAGAGCGCUCAAAGUCGCUAAGGUAACCCGCAAGGGAGCCCAGCGCCUAAAGCGAGAUCUCUAAUUGGGGCUAAGUCGUAACAAGGUAGCCGU
rnacentral:rRNA from 1 species